AACGAACGCUGGCGGCAUGCCUAACACAUGCAAGUCGAACGAUGCCUUCGGGCAUAGUGGCGCACGGGUGCGUAACGCGUGGGAAUCUGCCCUUGGCUUCGGAAUAACAGUUAGAAAUGACUGCUAAUACCGGAUGAUGUCCCCCUGAGAGAUCUUGGGGACCAAAGAUUUAUCGGCCAGGGAUGAGCCCGCGUAGGUUUAGGUAGUUGGUGGGGUAAAGGCCUACCAAGCCGACGAUCCUUAGCUGGUCUGAGAGGAUGAUCAGCCACACUGGGACUGAGACACGGCCCAGACUCCUACGGGAGGCAGCAGUGGGGAAUAUUGGACAAUGGGGGGAACCCUGAUCCAGCAAUGCCGCGUGAGUGAUGAAGGCCUUAGGGUUGUAAAGCUCUUUUACCAGGGAUGAUAAUGACAGUACCUGGAGAAUAAGCUCCGGCUAACUCCGUG
rnacentral:rRNA from 1 species